rnacentral:rRNA from 1 species
UACGGAGGGUGCGAGCGUUGUCCGGAAUCAUUGGGCGUAAAGGGCGCGUAGGUGGCCCGGUCAGUUCGUGGUGAAAGCGCGGGGCUCAACCCUGCGUCGGCCAUGAAUACUGCCGCGGCUGGAGCACUGGUAGAGGCAGGCGGAAUUCCGGGUGUAGCGGUGGGAAUGCGUAGAGAUCCGGAAGAACACCGGUGGCGAAGGCGGCC